rnacentral:lncRNA from 1 species
GGGUGUAUCCCGUCAGCGUAUAGCCAGAAGCUGAAUGUUUUUCUUGUAGUUGAUGUCCUAGUUCUUUUGUUUUUGAUUGUUUUUGAAUUAUGGAUGAUGUCGGUUGUGAAUAAUGGCGAGUAUGUUAAUUCAUCCUUGUUGAGGUUUCUGAUCUUCUCAUUCAACUUGAAUAUUUGUGCCUCUAGUUUUUUGUCUUGUUCCUUGAAUAUUUCAGGUGUUUUAUGGUCUUUGUUUUUGUUGUAUUCUGAUAUUGAGUAGACCGGUAUUUCAAGGAAGGUGACUCUACAGCUAGGAUAUUGUUUGACAAGUUCCUUUAUUUUACCAAGGUAUUCAGCGGCUUUAUC